CUUGCGCGUGCUAUACUGCAAGUCGAACGAACUCUGGUAUUGAUUGGUGCUUGCAUCAUGAUUUACAUUUGAGUGAGUGGCGAACUGGUGAGUAACACGUGGGAAACCUGCCCAGAAGCGGGGGAUAACACCUGGAAACAGAUGCUAAUACCGCAUAACAACUUGGACCGCAUGGUCCGAGUUUGAAAGAUGGCUUCGGCUAUCACUUUUGGAUGGUCCCGCGGCGUAUUAGCUAGAUGGUGGGGUAACGGCUCACCAUGGCAAUGAUACGUAGCCGACCUGAGAGGGUAAUCGGCCACAUUGGGACUGAGACACGGCCCAAACUCCUACGGGAGGCAGCAGUAGGGAAUCUUCCACAAUGGACGAAAGUCUGAUGGAGCAACGCCGCGUGAGUGAAGAAGGGUUUCGGCUCGUAAAACUCUGUUGUUAAAGAAGAACAUAUCUGAGAGUAACUGUUCAGGUAUUGACGGUAUUUAACCAGAAAGCCACGGCUAAACUACGUGCCAGCAGCCGCGGUAAUACGUAGGUGGCAAGCGUUGUCCGGAUUUAUUGGGCGUAAAGCGAGCGCAGGCGGUUUUUUAAGUCUGAUGUGAAAGCCUUCGGCUCAACCGAAGAAGUGCAUCGGAAACUGGGAAACUUGAGUGCAGAAKASGACAGUGGAACUCCAUGUGUAGCGGUGAAAUGCGUAGAUAUAUGGAAGAACACCASUGGCGAAGGCGGCUGUCUGGUCUGUAACUGACGCUGASGCUCGAAAGUAUGGGUAGCAAACAGGAUUAGAUACCCUGGUAGUCCAUACCGUAAACGAUGAAUGCUAAGUGUUGGAGGGUUUCCGCCCUUCAGUGCUGCAGCUAACGCAUUAAGCAUUCCGCCUGGGGAGUACGGCCGCAAGGCUGAAACUCAAAGGAAUUGACGGGKGCCCGCACAAGCGGUGGAGCAUGUGGUUUAAUUCGAAGCUACGCGAAGAACCUUACCAGGUCUUGACAUACUAUGCAAAUCUAAGAGAUUAGACGUUCCCUUCGGGGACAUGGAUACAGGUGGUGCAUGGUUGUCGUCAGCUCGUGUCGUGAGAUGUUGGGUUAAGUCCCGCAACGAGCGCAACCCUUAUUAUCAGUUGCCAGCAUUAAGUUGGGCACUCUGGUGAGACUGCCGGUGACAAACCGGAGGAAGGUGGGGAUGACGUCAAAUCAUCAUGCCCCUUAUGACCUGGGCUACACACGUGCUACAAUGGAUGGUACAACGAGUUGCGAACUCGCGAGAGUAAGCUAAUCUCUUAAAGCCAUUCUCAGUUCGGAUUGUAGGCUGCAACUCGCCUACAUGAAGUCGGAAUCGCUAGUAAUCGCGGAUCAGCAUGCCGCGGUGAAUACGUUCCCGGGCCUUGUA
rnacentral:rRNA from 2 species